UCGGUCCCCGGGGUCCUGUCCGCGCGCCCCUACCUCGCAGCCCCGCGCUCUCUGAGCUGCCGGAGGACAGCGUGGGUACUUGGAAUGGGCCAACAAGACCGAAGAAGUCCCGGCGUGACGUCAGCACGCGGGGCAGGGAUCGAGGCGGGACCGGUUCCAAAGUGUGAGACGAGGGCCAGUCAGGGCGGAGCCACACCCCUCCCUGCGCUCCCUCGCCAUCCCGCGCUGGGAAAGCUGCGAGGCCGACCUAAUUCUCCCCGAAAUACCUGGAGUGGGACCUGAGAUCUUAGAAAGCCAAGCAGCGAGGGGAGGAAGCUUCGUGGAUUCACCCCCAGGCGACAGCGCUAAGCCAGCACCCCCCCAGGUGGGACAGGGCCCACCACACCAAACCUCAGUAUGGUUGUGUAGACCUUCUUCCUGGGGUCUGGAGUCCUGGGAGACGCCUUGCUUGAAGACAGGGCUCAUGUGUGAGCUCAGAUUGAUAAAUGAUGCUAUAGCUGAGCCCAACUCAGUAGGCAAAGGAGACAGUCCAUGGUCCUCAACCCUGCCGUGUCUUAUCCACAGGACAGAGGAUCCGAGCCAUCUCUGUGCCCAUCGCAGCCACCCUGGAUGACAAGCAGCCUCCUGGGGCCUUUGCAAGCAGCCCGCCCACCUUCUGCAUCAUUCUGCAAAAACUCCCCCAUGCAUGGCUGAAGGAUGUGUCACCACCGUCCUCCACACUGCAAAGGAAUUUUCCUUAAGCCUCGAGAAAUGAUGAUACAACAGUAAAUAUCCAUGGCAGACAGUUCGGGAAUUCCUAAAGAAUAAAACUUGUCAGGCUGCCUCCUGACAAAUUUUUUUUCCUCCACACUGAAAUACAUUUUUAAAGGGAUUCCCACCACAUAGUCCACUCUAACGGGGUCAUGUCACUUAGCCUCUCUGUCAUUAGCCACCAG